UUCAAGAAAUUAAUACGAUUGCAAAUGUAAUAGCUCCAUACAUAGUGAGGUAGGAUAAAUGAUGGAAGACACAUUGAAAUUUGAGGUCCAUAGGUUGAGAAGAGUCCAUAGCAUUGAUCCAUAUAUGGCUAUCUUGCAUAGAUCUACAAUUCAAGCUCCGAACAAAAUAUCAAUUUAUCAGCAAUUGUGACAUUCAUUAUUCCUAAAAAAAAGUUAUUGAUUUACAAAUAAACAGAUGAAAGUAAUCGGAAAAUAAAUGUUUACCACAUGCUGGAUGAAUCCGAACUCAAAAUGAUCACGAUAUUUUCCCGACGAUGAUCAUAGAGAGAUUGCUGCCUGUGACUUGUCCAUCCCCUAAAAACAAUUUCAGGAACUUAUUUAUUGGAUAAAUGUGUGUGUACCCAAGAACUAUACUGAAACAACCACAAAGACAGUAAAUAUGAUCGGCAACUAAUAAAAAUAAUAAUCGACUGGAAAUCACAUAUAAACCCAAAUGAACCUAAACCCACCAAGCAAAACUAAAAAACACGCUAAAUAGACAAUCAAUCAAACAGAACCAGAAGGGGGUUCAGAUAAAUUUUUGGUUAUUGUUUCUCUCUUUCAUGCAAGUUUACAUCAAUAAAGGAAGCCACAGAUUUUAACCUGUUUCCAACUUACAAACCGCAUAAUGAUCAAUUACCUAGAAAAAGGAAAAAGGAAAGUUGGCAUUUGAAACUAACUCUGGCAAAAUUGAAGAAUAAAAUAUGCAAAAUUUUUGCAGCAAAAAGUAAACGACACAGUUUGGGCAACAAAGAGCAUAAAAAAGAACAUAAUUUCCAAGCAAGUAGAGUAAUUGCAGAGCUAUAAAAUUUGUGCUAAGCUAAAACAGCUACCGGUUAAAGUAUAUACAAAGUUUUCUCAGGAUUCAAAUAGAAAAAACAAUCAAUCAAAAGACAAAUUUUAAGGCUCAAAGGCACCUGCAGGGUGAAGUGCAAUGAAUUCGAAGAUGGCGCAGGGUAGAAGGACCUUGUUUCAGAAAGGAAAGAUGCCUAGGCGAGUGGGAUGCUCCACCGAUUCCACCAUAUUUAGAAGUUGCACAAAGAGAAGAAGAAGAACAAGAAAAAAGAGUCAGAGGAGGAGGUAGAGAACAAAGGCAUUACCAUAUGAGUGCCUAACCCAAAAACAAAAAACUUAACAUAGAAUUAUUGAUGUCGUUGUACACCAUUUUAAAUGAAACUUAAAAUUCAUGACUACAACUUAUUUUCUAGAGUCUCUAAACGGAAAGUUAACCACUGAAUGUUUGAAUAACCUGAAGAACUUCCUCGUGCACCACAAAGUUCCCAAAACCAAUCCAUUGACAACGAUUCAAAGUGAAAUAAAGUGAAUCCAACAUAGAAACUUCUAUAAUUUCACAUGUUUCCUAAAAUUACCCAGCUACGUGUU
rnacentral:lncRNA from 1 species